AGAUGCUUCACUGCAUAGUGUUGAAUAGUGAAUGAACCCACAUACAUACAUCAACAUGGGUACAGGUUGUUAUUCUAUCAGCACAAAGUAGUUAACUUUCACUCCAAGUAGUAUUUGAAGGGGGGGUAAAGUUUGUAUGACUUGUAUCACUUAUUUUCCAGGAAUUGUCAUCAUUAUGGUGUGUACAUGAAUCACUGCAUUCACUACAUCAUAUCAGUGUACAUUAGUAGAAAAAUACAAAGGUUAGGUCAUGAAUUAUAGAGCAAGAAAAAUGUCACUUAUCAAUUUUCAGGUACAUCACGAUUAGUGCAAUGACUACCACUCCAAGCCUUUGGUCUUUUAUUUGUGUUAUUUCUUUUGUUGGUAUACCAAUUAUAUUGUACGUUGAAAACACAGUUUGCAAUUAAUAUGCUGCUUUGUUGUGGUUGAUACAUCCUUGUUCUGUUCUCGGUACAUUAGUUCACGAGUGUGUGUUCUAUGCUAUUGAAGAUUUGUUUCCUAGAAAGGUUUAAUGCCCAUUCAGCAAUUUGGAAAUCAAUCCACUGUGGGUGAACUAGAAUCAUGCGAUUUCUUCUCCUUUCUGACAACAGACGAGACGUCUCCUGGGGAGCCACAGGUACAUUCAAACUUGUCCUGUAGCCGUUAUUAAUCUAUAUAGUGAAGACGUGUCUUUAGUGGUCUUCUAAAUUCUCUCCCCCCCCCCUAUUUGAUAGGAAUAUGCUUUCAAGAACCUGUCUGUAAAAGCCACCUAUCUACAGUGGCCACUUUUUCCUGUGGUCGUAAUAGACAUGUUUUUUAUUGUGCAGCCAUGUUCGAUUUCGCACAAGCUUAAGGUUUGAGCAUGAGUCAGUGCUAUAAGUAUGUUAAGAUACAAAUUGUAGUUCUAAAAGAUAUAAAGUUUUGUUGUAUUAAUGAAUUAAAGGGGGAAAAUGUGUCAUGUGUUUAUGAUGGGGCUGAAGGGUGGAUGCCUCAUGUCUUUUCUUGAAAAUCUGAUAUUUUUUUUCUCUCGAUAUUCUUUUAAGUUAUAUUCAGGUUGAAUUCUUAUGUCAAGAUGUUGGCCUAAAUAACUUUAAACCAUCAUAAAAUGAUAACGUAAUUCAUUCAGUCACUGAUUUCCAGCCUGCAGGGUGCUAGAAAAUGAUGAAUAAAUAUAAUCUGUUUAUACUUUGACGGAUAAAACGAGAGGCUCUAAUCUUCCUUGACACCAGCUCACAUGAAUACAAGGCAUUCUGAUGACAUUCAGAAUGCUAAUGAUCCAGUUUGUACAUAUUUUAUGGAGAACUCCCUUGAUCCUGGCUACAAGCAAGCAAAGCUCAUGCUUCCAUCGUUCAAUUGUAUGAGUUUGGGCUUAUUAGCUUAAUCAUGGUUUACAAUUAAAAAAGCCUGCCAUCAUGUGUUACUUAUCAUGUGUUACUUGAUUGUUUUGUCAUCAUCAAGGUCAUGAAAAACAACGUUACAACAAUGCGUGACAAACUGCUGUACGACACGAUGUGCCAUGAUGAUUAAUGUCCUAUCUAUUCAGAGCUUUAUCAUUGAACAACUCUAUUAAUAUGAUUAAUGACACUUAUGAUAAUUGCCUUCUUUCUCCUGGUAGAAUCCAAGUACAUAUAUGCCGUGUAUACUAGUACAGUACUCUUUAUAGUAUUUGCGUUAUCAGUGUUACGUUAAACUUCUUCAUUUGGCUGGUACUUUAAACUAUGAUGAACUUAUUCAUUUCGCUUCUCUUUAGCCACUAAUUUAUCAUCUCUAUUUGGAGUAUAUUUAACAACUUUGCCUUUAGGGAAACUUGAAAAAAUGUAUUACAAUUUCAUGCCUUUGUAAAUAAGUUAUAGCCUUCUCUAUUAAGAGAUGCUUUGAGUCUGUUGCAAGAUGAAUCUUAAAUUUCAGGCAGUUUUACUGUGUAUUAUUUUGCAUUCUAUCUUUAUUUUGUCUUAUUUGUCUUGAAAUAGAAAUCAAAAGUUGUAGCAUGAGGCUGUAUUCUCUUCCACUUGCGAUGCAAGCUGUGUAGCAUGUAUUAAUAAAGAUAUAUUAUACAGGGUUUAGCUCCUGUUAUGCGACAUUCUCUUACGUACUUUCUCGUCAUUGUUUUUGUUGGUUUGUUUUGAAAAGAUAUUCCUCCUAAAUACCUCCUCACGGUGGUGCGAUCCUUAAAGCCCCCAUCCCAAUUAUUCCGAAUCAAGCAGAAUUGCCCGAAAUGAAAGGACUAUUGUUCGACCACCAGUUGGUCAUUUAAAUCUACUUCGAACACCAUUCGAAAUUACCCCUCGAAUGUUUUGAACAUGACCAAAACCUUCGGGACGGCCAAAAGAAAUGACAAAAAUAUUUCGAAUGCACUCAGAAUGCAGUCAGAAUAUUAAGAAUGA